GACGAACGCUGGCGGCGUGCUUAACACAUGCAAGUCGAACGGACAGGCCCUGCUUUUGUUGGUUUCUCGAGUGGCGAACGGGUGAGUAACACGUGAGUAACCUGCCCUUGACUUUGGGAUAACUUCAGGAAACUGGGGCUAAUACCGGAUAUGAUCUCCUGCUGCAUGGUGGUGGUUGGAAAGUUUCGGCGGUUGUGGAUGGACUCGCGGGUUAUCCGCUUGUUGGUGUGGUAGUGGCUUACCAAGGCUUUGACGGGUAGCCGGCCUGAGAGGGGUAACGGCGACAAGGGGACUGAGAGACGGACCAGAAUCGUAUGGGAGGCAGUAGGGGGGAAUAUGGCACAAUGGGGGGAAGCCUGAUGCAGAAACGCUGCGUGCGGGAUGACGGCUUUCGGGUGGUAAACAGAUGUGGAAGGAGACGAAGAGUGAGUGACGGUAAUGGGUAAAGAAGCAACGGCUAACUACGUG
rnacentral:rRNA from 1 species